rnacentral:rRNA from 1 species
CGACGUGAGCAAUCUGCCCUUAGGUGGGGGAUAACAGCCGGAAACGGCUGCUAAUACCGCAUAAUGCAUUGGAAUCGCAUGGUUUUGAUGCCAAAGAUUUAUUGCCUUUGGAUGAGCUCGCGUCUGAUUAGCUGGUUGGUGGGGUAACGGCCCACCAAGGCGACGAUCAGUAGCCGGACUGAGAGGUUGAACGGCCACAUUGGGACUGAGACACGGCCCAG